GCCUGGGGGGCUCAGUCGGUUGAGCAUCCGACUUCAGCUCAGGUCCUGAUCUCAUGGCGUGUGGGUUCAAGCCCCACGUCGGGCU
rnacentral:tRNA from 1 species